rnacentral:lncRNA from 1 species
GGCUCCCUGUUCCUGCAGCUGAAGGAUAGGUGUCACAGGACAGGCAAGAACGGAGCUGGUGGCCUGGACUGGGCCACCAUGGAGAGCAUCUUCGCCUGCAGGGACGGCCCCAAGCCAUGACCAUGAAGACGAAGCCGCUGCGGAACUGAUGGGCCCCCGACGGCCGGGUGGAAGCCUCUGGUCCAGAGGUGCUGGGCGGGGAUGGGACUCUCCUCCCAGGGGCGAAGCCUGAGAAACCGGAGCUGGUUGUGACACCUUUGGCUCCGGGGUAUUUGCUGGCCUUUGUCCUGCUGGCUGGCGUCUGGGGGCUGAGAUUUGCAGCAAAUGAUGGCUCCGAAGCCGUGAUACAAGAGGCCAAAUGAGAGGAAAUAACUAGGAUCAACGAAAAUCCAUUUUGGAAGAGGCCAUUACAAUGGUUCGUUUGGGAAACCCUUGUGAAGCUGGCUUUCUCCAUCUUUCGUUCAACAAUCAAGAAACCCUUGGUGAGGAGUGAGGAGAAUGUUGCCAAACCCCCAACUGGAUCACGGGACUGGCCAACAGCUGUUAAAAAUGGAAUCAAGAACCUGUGGAUGAAGACAAGAGCAGGGCGGAACUCUACUUCCCUGAGCCGUGAUGGCAGCCCAGGGCCGGCUCCAGCAAGGGCUGACGGAAUUUUCCAGGUGUGCUGUGUGAGGGCCUCCGCAGGACAGGGCCCAAGGGAGGGCUGCGAGAAGGCGCUCGCCCCGGGGCAUGUGUUUAAAAGGCCCCACCGCUGACUGUAGGAAAGGGCCGAGGAGGCAGGGGACCUUUGCUCCGGCCUCAGCCCAGCUGUGGAACUGACCAGCCGUGACCUGGGCAAGUCAUUUAACUGACUGCGUCUUCCAGUUGGGCAGCCACGACGGGCAGACCCUGGCCAGAUGCUCAGGAUGCACCAAUGAACCCGUGAUGCCCGGAGUCUUAGGCGCAUGAGGUCAGCAGACAGUUCCCGCCACGGGGCUGACCACAGAGGCACGUACGAAGCUGCCCAGGGGCCCACAGAGGGAAAGAGGCAUGUCGUGGGUGAGGUGGGUGAGGGGAGCAGGGUGAGGGAGAAGGAAGGCUUCACGGAGGAGGUGACGUCUGAACGGGGCUUUGGAGGUUGAGUAGGAGCUCCCAGUGGGAGAAGAGCAUGAUAAGGAGAGUGAGGAUCACAGAGGCAGGGGCCCAGCAGGGCCAGUCACAU